ACACAUGCAGUCGAACGAUGAAGCCAGCUUGCUGGUGGAUUAGUGGCGAACGGGUGAGUAACACGUGGGUGAUCUGCCCCAAACUUUGGGAUAAGCCUGGGAAACUGGGUCUAAUACCGAAUAUGACCGAUACUCGCAUGGGUGUUGGUGGAAAGCUCCGGCGGUUUGGGAUGGGCCCGCGGCCUAUCAGCUUGUUGGUGGGGUAAUGGCCUACCAAGGCGACGACGGGUAGCCGGCCUGAGAGGGCGACCGGCCACACUGGGACUGAGACACGGCCCAGAYUCMUACGGGAGGCAGCAGUGGGGAAUAUUGCACAAUGGGCGCAAGCCUGAUGCAGCGACGCCGCGUGAGGGAUGACGGCCUUCGGGUUGUAAACCUCUUUCACCAGGGACGAAGCGAAAGUGACGGUACCUGGAGAAGAAGCACCGGCCAACUACGUGCCAGCAGCCGCGGUAAUACGUAGGGUGCGAGCGUUGUCCGGAAUUACUGGGCGUAAAGAGCUCGUAGGCGGUUUGUCGCGUCGUUCGUGAAAACUUGGGGCUUAACUCCAAGCGUGCGGGCGAUACGGGCAGACUUGAGUACUACAGGGGAGACUGGAAUUCCUGGUGUAGCGGUGAAAUGCGCAGAUAUCAGGAGGAACACCGGUGGCGAAGGCGGGUCUCUGGGUAGUAACUGACGCUGAGGAGCGAAAGCGUGGGUAGCGAACAGGAUUAGAUACCCUGGUAGUCCACGCCGUAAACGGUGGGUACUAGGUGUGGGUUCCUUUUCACGGGAUCCGUGCCGUAGCUAACGCAUUAAGUACCCGCCUGGGGAGUACGGCCGCAAGGCUAAACUCAAGGAAUUGACGGGGGCCCGCACAAGCGGCGGAGCAUGUGGAUAAUU
rnacentral:rRNA from 1 species